UACAGAGGGUGCAAGCGUUGUUCGGAAUUAUUGGGCGUAAAGGGCGCGUAGGCGGUGCUGUAAGUCUGUAGUGAAAUCUCUGGGCUCAACUCAGAGUCUGCUAUAGAAACUGCAGUGCUGGAGUGUGGGAGAGGGAUGCGGAAUUCCAGGUGUAGCGGUGAAAUGCGUAGAUAUCUGGAGGAACACCGGUGGCGAAGGCGGCAUCCUGGACCGGCAUUGACGCUGAGGCGCGAAAGCCAGGGGAGCAAACGGG
rnacentral:rRNA from 1 species